UACGUAGGGUGCAAGCGUUGUCCGGAAUUAUUGGGCGUAAAGAGCUCGUAGGCGGUUUGUUGCGUCGGCUGUGAAAUCCCGAGGCUCAACCUCGGGUCUGCAGUCGAUACGAGCAGACUAGAGUGUUGCAGGGGAGACUGGAAUUCCUGGUGUAGCGGUGAAAUGCGCAGAUAUCAGGAGGAACACCUGUGGCGAAGGCGGGUCUCUGGGCAGCAACUGACGCUGAGGAGCGAAAGCGUGGGGAGCGAACAGG
rnacentral:rRNA from 1 species